AUUGAACGCUGGCGGCAGGCCUAACACAUGCAAGUCGAGCGGAUGAAGGGAGCUUGCUCCUGGAUUCAGCGGCGGACGGGUGAGUAAUGCCUAGGAAUCUGCCUGGUAGUGGGGGAUAACGUCCGGAAACGGGCGCUAAUACCGCAUACGUCCUGAGGGAGAAAGUGGGGGAUCUUCGGACCUCACGCUAUCAGAUGAGCCUAGGUCGGAUUAGCUAGUUGGUGGGGUAAAGGCCUACCAAGGCGACGAUCCGUAACUGGUCUGAGAGGAUGAUCAGUCACACUGGAACUGAGACACGGUCCAGACUCCUACGGGAGGCAGCAGUGGGGAAUAUUGGACGAUGGGCGAAAGCCUGAUCCAGCCAUGCCGCGUGUGUGAAGAAGGUCUUCGGAUUGUAAAGCACUUUAAGUUGGGAAGAAGGGCAGUAAGUUAAUACCUUGCUGUUUUGACGUUACCAACAGAAUAAGCACCGGCUAACUUCGUG
rnacentral:rRNA from 1 species